UUAUUCGAUGCAAGCGAAGAACCUUACCAGGGCUUGACAUGUCGGUGGUACCCUGGCCGAAAGGCUGGGGGACCCUUCGGGGAGCCGUCACAGAUGCUGCAUGGCUGUCGUCAGCUCGUGCCGUGAGGUGUUGGGUUAAGUCCCGCAACGAGCGCAACCCUCGUCGCUAGUUACACUCUCUAGCGAGACUGCCUCGUAAUUCGAGGAGGAAGGUGGGGAUGACGUCAAGUCAUCAUGGCUCUUACGCCCUGGGCGACACACACGCUACAAUGG
rnacentral:rRNA from 1 species